GGGGCUGAUUCUGGAUUCGACGGGAUUUGCGAAACCCAAGGUGCAUGCCGAGGGGCGGUUGGCCUCGUAAAAAGCCGCAAAAAAAUAGUCGCAAACGACGAAAACUACGCUUUAGCAGCUUAAUAACCUGCUUAGAGCCCUCUCUCCCUAGCCUCCGCUCUUAGGACGGGGAUCAAGAGAGGUCAAACCCAAAAGAGAUCGCGCGGAUGCCCUGCCUGGGGUUGAAGCGUUAAAACGAAUCAGGCUAGUCUGGUAGUGGCGUGUCCGUCCGCAGGUGCCAGGCGAAUGUAAAGACAGACUAAGCAUGUAGUACCGAGGAUGUAGGAAUUUCGGACGCGGGUUCAACUCCCGCCAGCUCCACC
rnacentral:tmRNA from 1 species